rnacentral:piRNA from 1 species
UAGAUUAUCAGUCAUUUUUCA